ACAAUUUAACAAACAAUUUAACAAACAGUUUAACACAAAAUAAACAAAUGAAAGAAUAUCCAACUGAAUACAUAAAUAGAAUACAUACAUAUGAUGAUUAUAACAAUAUUAAAGUAAAUACAAAUUUAAUGACUAUUAAUGACAAUACUUUGAUUAAUAAAAAAAAUAUUAAUAAUAAUUUAAGUCAGGAUAAAGAAAACCAACCACAGUAUAUUAUUAAAAAUAACAAUAAAUUUAAUACUAAUUUAAAUCAUGAUAAAUCUAACAGUUUAUUUAAUAGUGAAAAUAAAACAAAAUUAAAAAAAAAAAAAAAACUCAAAUAAAAAUACGAAAAUAAUGAAACAGACAGGAGGCAGUGGCAAUGGUAGUGGAAAAGAUAGUGGUAGUGGAAAAGAUAGUGGUAGUGGAAAAGGCAAUGGUAGUGAAAAUGACAAAAUAAUUUACAAUGUUGACAACAACACAUAUGAAACAAAAUUUCGUAAUAUUGAUAAUAAUAGUGGUAGUAAUAAUAAUAGUAGCAAUAAUAAUAGUAGCAAUAAUAAUAGUAGUAAUAAUAAUAGUGGUAAUAAUAAUAGUAGUAAUAAUAAUAGUGGUAAUAAUAACAGUGGUAAUAAUAAUAGUAGUAAUAUUAAUAGUAGUAAUAUUAAUAGUAGUAAUAUUAAUAGUAGUAAUAUUAAUAGUAGUAAUAUUAAUAGUAGUAAUAUUAAUAGUAGUAAUAUUAAUAGUAGUAAUAAUAACAAUUUGAAAAAUACGAUAAUAGAUGAACGUAAAGGUACAUAUAAUAAAUCAUUUAAAAACAUGACAACAACAAAAUUUUCAAACGAUAAAGUUCAAUAUAAAGAUAAUAAUAUCACGCGUUCUAAUAAUAACAAUAAUAAUAGUAGUGCUAAUAAUAACGAUGAUAAAGCAUGUAAUAAUAAUAAUAAUAAUAUUAUAUUUAAAAAAAUAUUGUCAGACAAUAAUAAUAAUAAUAAUAAUAAUAAUACUACAUUUGAAAAUUAUACAAAUACGCAAAAUUUAAAUACAAUUGUUAAAAAAAGAAAGGGAAGAAAACCUAAAAAAAGUACGUUAAAAAUGGAUUUACCUGAUCAUACUAAAAAUAAUAAUAAAAAUGACACUAGUCAUAAUAAUAACAGUGGUAAUAGUAAUGGUGGUAAUGACGGUAAUGGUGGUAAUGACGGUAAUGGUGGUAAUGGUGGUAAUGGU
ensembl:lncRNA